rnacentral:rRNA from 1 species
GACGAACGCUGGCGGCGUGCUUAACACAUGCAAGUCGAGCGGUAAGGCCCUUCCGGGGGUACACGAGCGGCGAACGGGUGAGUAACACGUGGGUGACCUGCCCUCAGCUCUGGGAUAAGCCCGGGAAACUGGGUCUAAUACCGGAUAUGACUCCAUGACGCAUGUUGUGGGGUGGAAAGCCUUGUGCGGCUGAGGAUGGGCCCGCGGCCUAUCAGCUUGUUGGUGGGGUGANGGCCUACCAAGGCGACGACGGGUAGCCGGCCUGAGAGGGCGACCGGCCACACUGGGACUGAGACAC